rnacentral:misc_RNA from 1 species
AUCUUUUUAUUUAUCAUAAUUUUUUUUUUAAAGAGUGGGAUGUUUUAAAUAAAGUUUGGACGCAAAACCUCGAGACGCGAAGUUCGCCAUAAUUUGUAAUGAUCCUUCCGCAGGUUCACCUACGGAAA